CCUAUGAAUAGUUUAAAUGGCCGCAGUACUUUGACUGUGCAAAGGUAGCAUAAUCACUUGUCUCUUAAUUGGGGGCUGGAAUGAAGGAGGCGACGAAAUUUAGGCUAUUUAGUUAUAAAGCAAAAUUAACAUAAAGGUCAAAAGGCCUUUAUAAACCAAAGGGACGAUAAGACCCUAUAAAACUUUACUAUACAGUAGGUUGUUUAGAUAAGAUUUAAAUUAUAGUUUGACUGGGGCGGUUUACAUAAAAACAAUAGAAGUAGAAAUAUUUUAAAUAAAUUUAGAGAGCUCUGAAAGGAAAUGAGCAAGUUACUUUAGGGAUAACAGCAUAAUACUCCCAGAGAGUCCUAAUUGGCGGGAGAGCUUAUGACCUCGAUGUUGAAUUGGGAAGUCUAAUAUAAGUAGAAAUAUAUUAAGAUAGUCUGUUCGACUAUUAAAUUCCC
rnacentral:rRNA from 1 species